GCGGAGAUGCCAGAGUGGUCAAAUGGGCUGGAUUUAGGCUCCAGUGGCUUAGUGCCUACGUAGGUUCGAAUCCUAUUCUCCGCA
rnacentral:tRNA from 1 species